UGUUCGUCUUCCCCGUGUUCUCUGUUUCUUUUCGUGUGAUCCCUAUGCUAUAUUUGGAUUUAUUCUUGGACGUUUUUAGUUCAAGCAGACCUGUUAGCAUCCUGAGCGGCGUCUUCCUGAGCUGAAGGUAAAGAUGAAUGAACAACAAUUUGAGCAUCUGUGGGAGCGAUGACAGCCCGCAGCGAGACAGACAGCCGGUCAGUCACCCGGAGACCUGACCUCCAUCUUUCCCUGUCUCUCAUCAGCUCACUCUCUGCCUCUCUCUCCGUCUAACACAAUCUCUCACUAACAAUCAGCGGCGCCGACUCUUCGGCUGGGUUAUAACUUAAAGUAAACAGCCUCUCAGAUUCA